UGCCUGUGAUGACUCGCCAUGCUAAUACCGACCGGCCCGUCAGCCAGGGCAAGGGGCCCGGCGCAUCCGGCGGGGCCGGGAUGAGUUGAACCCUCUUCUUGGGAAGAGCUGAAGGCGC